rnacentral:lncRNA from 1 species
GUCGUUGGAAUAAUCUUCCUAAACCAAGAAACUUGCCUCCCUCUAACUUCACGGAGGGGUAUCCUUGGGCUGUCCCCUACGGCUCUCCCAGGUGUUUACCCUCUACCAUUCUGAAGAUAGUUGGCCACUUCUAAGUCUUCAGUCUAAAUAUUUCUAGUUCGCUUAACCAUCCCUCCCUUUAUGAGUUAGGGAGUUACUGAUCUCUCUGGUAACUGAACAGGUUUAGAAGUCAGAUCUAGCCUCCUCCCAUAGUACUUUUGUUAUUGGGUCUGUGUUGUCCAUAGAAAAUCUUCUCCAAAAUCUAGAGGCUCAGCUCAUGGAAACCAAGGCCUCUCCCAAGCGGGAAGCUGGAGCUGGAAGCGAGCACGGACCAUGGGCCUUGAGACCAACUCACAGAGGCUGGGACUCUGAUUCAAGCUUAGGUUGCUGGAAACCUCAAUAUACUCUGACGUAAGACAUUCUAUUCUCUGGUUCUACUAUACUUUUCCCCAGGAUCUACUAUUCAGUCGCACUCAAGUGUGGCCCUAGCACCAAGGAAGCUUCAUUAGUGAUUUACCUACUAGAUGUUCAUUGUUCAGAUAAAACUUGGAAAGUGCAGGUAAGCAUGAAGAAGAGAGUUCCAUAAUCCUAUGACUUUGAGGAAAUUUAACACUUUAUCAUAUAGAACCUUUCAACAAUCAUGACUUUACCACCUGUGGCUUUGCCCUUCUGUCUUCUUAAGCCAAAGCCCACGGCAAUUCUGGCUGCUUUCUCCUGAGGACCACAUAUAUAUAAGAUUAUGGGAAUCAUGUCAAGAAGAGAUGUGUUUAAGGUGUAAACUUUCAGUACAUGAGAUUACAAAACAGCCGUGUGGUUUAAUCUGAGGGCUCCGUUGAAAAACAAAAAUAAUUUCCAAAUAACAAAGUUCUAUUGAAUUCCUUAGAUUACAUGUGCCAUGAGGGGAAUUGUGGUCCUUUAGCAGUACUUCUCAAAAGCCCCUUUCUUCUUUUUUUUUUUGAGGUGUCUCACUUUGUCGCCCAGGCUGGAGUACAGUGGUGCGAUCUUGACUGACUGCAACCUGCAACCUCUGCCUCCGGACUCAAGCGAUUCUCUUGCCUUAGCCUCCUGAGUAGCUGGGAUUACAGGUGCGUGCUACCACGCCUGGCUAAUUUUUGUAUUUUUAGUGAGACGAGGUUUCACCAUGUUGGCCAGGCUGGUCUCGAACUCCUGACCUCAAGUGAUCCACCUGCCUCGGCCUCCCAAAGUGCUGGGAUUACAGGCGCGAGCCACUGCACACAGGCAAAAGCCCCUUGCUUCUCAUGGGUCUGCUGUUGUUUCCUUCAGCCACUUUGGUUUUCAGGGAGGGUUCAGGAAACCAUCCUCCACUGUGCUUCUUUCUGGCCUUUGCUACCCCUGUUUCCCAUCAGGAGACCCCAGGAACUGAAGUGGCAAGGGUGAAUCCUGUGAGACGAUGAGGAAUGAGACCAGGCUGAAGUGUGAGAUGCAGUAGCCCUCCUCCACCUCCACCAGAAGGCAGGGGUGGAAUAAGAGCUGAAAGACGGAGUCUCAUUCUGUCGCCCAGGCUGGAGUGAGUGGCGUGAUCUCAGCUCACUGCAACCUCCAUCUCCCAGGUUCAAGUGAUUCUCAUGCCUCAGCCUCUCGAGUAGCUGGAAUGAUAGGCGCGCACCGCCAUGCCUGGCGAAUUUUUGUGUUUUUAGUAGAGACGGGGUUUCACCAUGUUGGCCAGGCUGGUCUUGAAUUCCUGACCUCAAGUGAUCCACUCUUCUCGACCUCCCAAAGUGUUGGGAUUAUAGGCGUGAGCCACCGCGCCCGGCCUGUUCUGGAUAUUUCUUAUAAAUGGAAUCAUACAGUGCUUCUUUCAGUUAGCAUAAUGUUUCCCAGGUUCAUCCAGGUCAUAACACAUAAUCAGGCUUCAUUUCUUUUUAUUACCAAAUAAUAUUAUAUGAAUAU